rnacentral:misc_RNA from 1 species
UUUCCUUGACCAAUUAGCUAG